CAAGAAUUAAUGCCUCUUUUUAUGUAUGAGAAUAUAUUACUGGCCAUAGCAAUAGGUAUUGUUAGCUAGUUUGCUAUCAAUAACAAUUCCCAAACUUGUGUUAUUUUCCCUAUCUUGCUGACAUGGAAGGUGUAUGUUGUUAAUGCAUUCUUCAGCCCAAAGUGCAUAACUUUGCAUUGAUCUACAUUAAGGUGAAAAGUCC